rnacentral:rRNA from 1 species
UAUGGUCGACCUGCAGGCGGCCGCACUAGUGAUUCGAUUAAGCCAUGCGAGUCAAGGUGUCUUCGGACGCCGGCAUACGGCUCAGUAACACGUAGGUAACCUACCCUCAGGACUGAGAUAACCCCGGGAAACUGAGGCUAAUAUUAGAUAGAUAAAAGAUACUGGAAUGUUCUUUUAUCCAAAGCUUUUGCGCCUGAGGAUGGGCCUGCGUCCGAUUAGGUCGUUGGUGGGGUAAUGGCCCACCAAGCCUGCGAUCGGUACGGGCAGUGGAAGCUGAAGCCCGGAGUUGGGGACUGAGACAAGGCCCCAGGCCCUACGGGGCGCAGCAGGCGCGAAACCUCUGCAAUGCGGGAAACCGUGACAGGGGGAUCCCAAGUGCUCAUGCAUUGCAUGGGCUGUUCUUUGGUCUAAGUAACCAGAGGAGUAAGGGCUGGGCAAGACCGGUGCCAGCCGCCGCGGUAAUACCGGCAGCUCAAGUGGUAGCCGCGAUUAUUGGGCCUAAAACGUUCGUAGCCGGAUAAGUAAGUCUUUGGUUAAAUCCUGCGACUCAACCGUGGGAAUUCUAGAGAUACUGCUCGUCUUGAGACCGGGAGAGGUUGGAGGUACUCCUAGGGUAGGGGUGAAAUCCUGUAAUCCUAGGGGGACCACCUGUGGCGAAGGCGUCCAACUGGAACGGGUCUGACGGUGAGGGACGAAACCUAGGGGAGCGAGCCGGAUUAGAUACCCGGGUAGUCCUAGGCGUAAAUGAUGCGAGUUAAGUGUGGGGGCAUCUACGAGAUGGCCCUGUGCUGUAGGGUAGCCGUUAAACUCGCUGCCUGGGGAGUACGGUCGCAAGGCUGAAACUUAAAGGAAUUGGCGGGGGAGCAAAUCCCGCGGCCA